ensembl:lncRNA
AGUUAUAAAGAUAUCUUUUGUGUGGUUGAAGCUAAAUUUGAGCCCAGCCUGAGUGUAUUUGUGUACUAUCUAUGUGUGUUUUAUGCAUCAGCAGCACACUGCAUUGGUAGUCUGCACAUGGAAUUAGGGAUUUAUGAUCUUUGAAGUCAGCUAAUACAAAGAUUUCUAUAUUUGCAAAAAAAAAAAAAAAAAAAACCAACAAAAAAACCAACAAAAACCCAGGAAAUAAUAGGAAUGGGUUUCUUAGAGCUACAGUCUGAUUCUCCUUUGGCUUGUGUUGGUUUGGUUUGCUCUAUUAUCUUCAGGGGAAUUAGUCCUCUCCCUGAUUUGAGCACCAGAAGAAGAGGACAAAAUCCAUCCCUGCGUGUAUGACUAGGGAGAUCUGCUUUUCUAGAGUUUGCUUUUGUUUCAGACCGUAAACCUGUGGAGGGGGAGUGCCGAACGAGAGAGGGAGCGGACCCUGCCAUGGGCAUUAAACUGUGCGGGGAUUCUUCUGACCAACGACUCACAAACAGCUCCUGAAAGACUGAGACUGAUCCCGGCUCUGGUGAGCGAUGCCGAUGGGGCGGACCUGACCCUGACCCUGUCGUGCAGGUCCCGAGGGGGCCGGAUUGCCGGGGGGACUCCUGCCCGCUCGCUGGUGAUGCUCCAGAGGGCAGGCGGGAGGAGGUCACGCCUGGGUGCAGGAGUGGAAGUCCCGUUCAGAGAAGUGUGGACUGAAUGAAGGACACGGUAAGGAUGGUGGGAAACAAAGCACAGCCAGACUCCUGACUUUUUGCAAGUUAUAAAUGCUGUACAAAAUUCUAGUUUCAAGACCAGAAAAUGUUUUCUCCUGUUGUUUAGAGUGACUCCAGAUGCUGCUGAUGUACUUAGUUACACAGCACAAGUAACCCAACUGGAAUGAAAAAGCAAGUUUAAUCUGUUUCAGCCCUAAAGAGAAUCCAAGCCCAUGUGUCCAGUCUCCACAGUAACAGCUACAACAGAUCAGACAUGGUAAUAUUUGUGUCAAAGGAUUCUUCUCCAUCUGGUGGUAAGGGGAAAUAUCAGAGAGAAAGACCAUAACAUUCUCCAAUUGGACAAUUACUUGGCUGGUAUGAGGCUAAUGCUCCCUGCAUGACCAGGAGAUCUACAAUUACUGCAGUCAGAGUUUUCUUAAUAUCUGGGAUGAAAUCCUAGCUAUCAAAGUGAGAAAAAUUUCUGUCCUAAAUGGAGAAGUAUUUCUUCUCAUUAUGUACACUGCUCAGGAUUGGGGUGAUGAAUAGCAGGCUUGCUUAACAGAAGUCACAUUAGGAGAAUCUUCUCUGUUUAGAAAUCUUUUACUCACUAUAAGUCUUUUUAAUGGGCUGUUGACUGAACCCUUUGCUCCAAAAACAGUAGAAAAAGUAGGUUGUUUGUUUGUUGGCUCAUAUGUCCAAACAUGAGAGGUGACAAAUGAUAUCUUCCAACUUGUAGUAUGCCAGGUUUGCAACCUGCAGACUUCUAUGCAAAGACUGUGAAAUAGAGGUUUGAGUUGUUUUAUACAAGGACUUCACUGUGGAACUGUCUCUAAGAUACAACCUGAUAUUUUCAGAAGUGGAAAGAGCUACACAAAAUUAAGUGCUCCCCUAAUGUCUGAGUUGAUUUGAAGCCACAAAGUCAACCCUGGAGUUUUGUACUGACUCCACAUACCGAAGCUAUGAAGCUACACUUCCUCUCUCUCUAGUAACCCUACCAAUAACUACUAUUUGCAAGAAGAAGACAUUUUCAUUUAAAAAUCAGGAUUUCUCUCAUUGCUACUCACUACUGCACAUGCUACUAAGAGGAGUCUUUCCAGCUGUCAUAACUUUCAUUCCACAACGAAACUGAGAUGUUUGUUAAGCAUCAAACUCCAGUCCUUGGGACAAUUAACAUCUUGGCAAGCCUCCUGCUGUGAUAUCUGGUGGACAGUCAUCAGUACAUCAAAUUAUGCAUGCUUGCAAUUUGAUCUUGACCAACGCAAUUUCCUUCCCCUCUUUAGGAAUUCUUUCACUGCCUUUAUGCCCAAGGGAUAGAUGGAAAAGAUAACUGUACACAAACUGCUUCAGCUCUGAAGCUAAUACUGAAAAGACAAUUUUACUUCUGUUUAUACUGCAACUUUGCUCUACAAAAAUUAUCUUAACAAUCAGUGAAAUUGAGCAAUUAAAAAAAAACAACCCAAAACCACAGGAAAACAUAUUUACAUUUAUCCAAACUGGUCCUUUUGCAGUCUGUUGUAGCCUAUAUAAGAGACAAUGGCUUAUCUAUGGUAGAAAGGCAAAAUGACACACAGGGAGUUGUGAUUUGGUAGAAUUUUCAUCCUAUAAAUUUUUGCUUUUUAAGCAUUUAAGAAAUUAGGUGCUCCCCUAAUUUUCAUCCUAUAACUUUUUGCUUUUUAAGCAUUUAAGAAAGCAGAUUUGAAUUAACUGACUCUGGAAAUUAUCUUACAUGUACAAGCAAUAUCAAGAGGCAGGAGAAUGCACAUACUGAUUUGCAUCUGCCACAAGUUACAGAGUCCUACAGAGUUCAUAUUAUACAGGCCAGAGUAAUCGUAUUAAAAAAAAAAAAAAAACAACCAAACUUCUCACAAACCAAAUAGAGUUCCAUUGUCAAUUAAAACAUUCUGGUUUAGAUUAUUAUUCAUACUUAUAUGGUAUCUGUAGAAAUAUUUUUUAGGUAUUUGUGAAAUUUGACAAAUUUUGGAAAAUUUGGGAAAGUUUAACAUCUUUAUUACUUUCAGCAGACCUUUGAAAUUCAAAGUCAUUAAUCUCAAAGACAACAUUUUUCCUGUGUUCCAUGAAUUUCUAUGAGAGAGUCAUUGAGAUGGAAACUGUUGGGAGCCACUACUGCUUUUCUCUUGUUGGUUUCUCCAGGAAAGGUCAAGGCAGUCUGCCAGUACAGUAAUUGGGCAACAUUACUGUUUUAAAGGCCUGAGUUCUUGCUGACACUGAAACAGUAAUAGGAAAUGAAGCAUUCAGAGAAAUUGUACAGCAAAAGCAGAAUGAAAUUUCUGGACUCAGUUUAAUAGAGAUGAAGCUUAAAAGGUUUAGUACGGUAGAGGAAACAAAAUUUGGUUUCUGCUAAAUGGUCUUCCAGCUCCAGAGCCUGGACCAAAUAACUCCUACUUAUGCCUGACACUCCAAACCCGAUUAAUUAAAUGUCUGCAAUGACUCAAUAAAUGGCAAGAUUCUGUGUUUCUCUAUACAUGUCACAGGGGACUUCCCUCCACUAUCUUUUUUCUCCCUUGAAAACAAGCUAGAACAUCCAAUUUCCUAUGCUCCAGUCAUUAAAUAGUGACAGUUAAGCUACAGUUCUGUUCCUGAUACAUUAGAAAAUGGCAGAUUUAAGACUCUCUGGGUAAUCUGUUCUUGUCCCUCCCCAUGCGAAUAUGUUUUCCUACAAACCCUUCCAUGACACAGUCAGAUUUUAGAGUUUCCCACAGGAUGCAUGCCUCAUUCUGUACAACACAGGAUAAUCACACCCAGUAGCAGAAAGAAAUUAGCAUAGCAGUCUUAAUCUGGUAUUUCCUAAUUUUUCUAAUUUCCUUAUCCUUCUAAACAAUAUUCUUUUAAUGUAAUUUUUUAACAUUACCAUUUAAAUAUAUAUGUAUGCACAUUUGUGUAUCUCUCCAUCUAUCUGGAUCUGUUAAUGUAUUGGUAAACACAAAAGAAAAA